GGCCAGAUAGCUCAGUAGGUAGAGCAGUGGACUGAAAAUCCUCGUGUCGGCAGUUCGAAUCUGCCUCUGGCCA
rnacentral:tRNA from 1 species